rnacentral:rRNA from 1 species
GGAAACGGUGGCUAAUACCGAAUAAUGCAGCGGCACCUAAUGGUGACAGUUGUUAAAGCGGGGGAUCGCAAGACCUCGCGUCUGAAGAGGAGCCUGCGGCAGAUUAGCUAGUUGGUAAGGUAACGGCUUACCAAGGCGAUGAUCUGUAGCCGGCCUGAGAGGGCGGUCGGCCACACUGACACUGACAUACGGGUCAGACUCCUACGGGAGGCAGCAGUCGGGAAUUUUGGGCAAUGGGCGAAAGCCUGACCCAGCAACGCCGCGUGAAGGAUGAAAUCCCUCGGGAUGUAAACUUCGCAAGAACGGGAAGAAUAAGUU